AUUCAAAUAGCUUAUAUAAUUAGAGCAUGACAUUGAAGCUGUUAAGGAAAUUUUUUAAAUUUUUGAAUA
rnacentral:tRNA from 1 species